rnacentral:lncRNA from 1 species
AAAUAAAUACGAAAAACGAUUAAGAAGGGAUCAAAGUGAGUAUGGUUCAAUAUAUUGAAAUUACAUUCUAAACUACUUACAUAUUUCUAAGGCCCUAGUAAUGUAUACAAAUAAAUGUUAUGUGACAUAUAUGGGAUGUCAGGUGAUACCCCUCAUUUAUUAGUAGAUCAGUCAUUGCUACAAAUGGAGAUGAGAGAACCAUUGAAUCCAAAGAAUAAAGAAGAAAAAGGAGAAGCUUAAGAGAAGGAGGAGCCAAAAGGAAAUAAGAUCGGUAUCGCUGGUUCGGAGCACAUGAUUGGAUGGGACAAAAUCACACCCAUUUACUGACUCGUCUCCAUAGCCACUGAGAUCCCUAACCAUAUUUUUGAAACUGUUCUCAAAGCGAACCGCAAACUUAAGAAGAGAGCCCAAUGGUUCCGAUCUAUAGCUAAACCCCACCCAUAUGUCGCUCCUCUUCACCGAUAGACCUUCGUUGCCAUGCCGUUAGACUGGAAACCCUAUACCGCAUUGAAUAUGUAUAAAAAAUUGAAGAAGGCUUAGGGGGUUCUAGUUCAAAUAUGCCCCACAGAUUUCAAAGGAGAAGUCGAAACCAUUGCACCACCGCAAACCACCGUGCGUCACACAGCCGUUCCAGAUCCAAAAUACCACUGCUAUCGGAAAAUUGAGAAGGUCGUCAAUGAAACACAUGAUGAAAAGAAAAACAAGUAAAAGAAACGUUUUCUUGACACCAGAGAAAAUUUGUGUCGGAGAGGUGAAUGACGACAAAAAGAUGUCUGCAAUUUAUAGUAUUGGUAUGAACGUUUUUAUUUUUAUUUCUAUGUUCGAAAUUAGAAUUGAUUUAUUUUUGUUCAAACUCGGCAGUUGAAAUAGUGGUAAGAAAGCACGAAAAUAGUCAGCAGUUCGGAAAACACUCUUAAAGUGCACAUUGUUGAAAAACAGUGUCGGUUUUAUUUACUCUUAGAGUGUAAAUAAUCUACAACCAUAUGUAAGUUAAACACAUCACUGCUUAACAAAUAAAUAUUUUUGUAUAAAAUCUCAAAUUCUAUACUUUGACUGUUAUAAACAAGAAUUUUCGAAAUAAAACCUUGUUUUAUCUUUAUCUUUUAAAUAAAUUUUAAAACAAAUUUCAUUCGUAAUUGACUAACAAAUAAAUUUGGUAAAAUUGGAAUAUAGAUUCUGCUCACAAAACGGUAGUUAUAUGUUUAGAUAACUCAUUUUUAUAGAUGUAUACUCCCUUCGUUUUAUUAAGUGUCACUUGAUAUUUUUUACGGAAAUUAAGAAAAUUGUGUAAUAGACUAAUAUAUCUCUAUUUAAUAGUAUUUGAUUAAUUAAAUGAGAUUCAUUUAAAUAAAAAUCUAUUUUUAUUCAAAAAGGUAAAAAGUAGAGUUAAUGUAUAAAUUUAUAUUAAAAUUAUAGAAUGACAUUUAUUUUGAAACAAAAUAAAAAAAACUUAAAGUGACACUUAUUAUAAAACAUAUGGAGUAUUUAUUAUUCUUCAAAUAUUGUGACGCGUCUGCUCAAAUAUUUUUAUUUUAGAAGUAAUAUGGUAAAAAAAUGUUUCCAAAAAAUAUAUUGUAAGUUCUUUUUUUGUAUAUACUCCAGUAAUUAUUUUGUUCUAUUGAUUUUGUAUUGCCAAUCGGAUCCACCUGCUAAGUUUUGUCCAGUGCGUAAUUUACUCUCGUCCUUAUAUCACAACACGACAUGUGACUCGAAGUUCGAGUUUGAGAUGUCGGCUAUGGUCGUGGGCUCUAAGCUAGGCGGCUGGGAAUCAUAGGGUGAACUUAUGGAUCAUCAUCUCCACAAUUUUUGUAUGUAACCUGGUCCCCUUUUCUCGAUAGUGUUUUAAGUUACAUUAUUACACAUUUACACCUAUGAGUAGGUGGUGCGAUAUUUUCUGCGGGUAUUUCACUGUACUUAAUGGUUCAAUUAUUGCGUUCAUCUUGACCAAUCUUGUUGUCGGUCGAUAUUUUUUCUUUCUUCAAUAUUUUUCGUAUUUGUGUGAC